GAUGAACGCUGGCGGCGUGCUUAACACAUGCCAGUCGAACGAAGCAUUUGCGACAGAUUUUUUCGGAAUGAAGUUGCUUAUGACUGAGUGGCGGACGGGUGAGUAACGCGUGGGUAACCUGCCUUGUACUGGGGGAUAGCAGCUGGAAACGGCUGGUAAUACCGCAUAAGCGCACAAUGUUGCAUGACAUGGUGUGAAAAACUCCGGUGGUAUAAGAUGGACCCGCGUCUGAUUAGCUAGUUGGUGAGAUAACAGCCCACCAAGGCGACGAUCAGUAGCCGACAUGAGAGGGUGACCGGCCACAUCGGGACUGAGACACGGCCCAGAAUCCUACGGGAGGGAGGAGUGGGUAAUAUUGCACAAUGGAGGAAACUCUGAUGCAGCGACGCCGGGUGAGUGAAGAAGUAAUUCGUUAUGUAAAGCUCUAUAAGCAGGGAAGAUAGUGACGGUACCUGACGAAGAAGCACCGGCUAACUACGUG
rnacentral:rRNA from 1 species